UNUCUACAGCAGGGUGAUCUACCACUAGC
rnacentral:piRNA from 1 species